rnacentral:sRNA from 1 species
UCGAUAUCGAGAAGGCCUUCGACCGUGUC